CUUUUUCUCUUUCUUUCUCCAGCAUGGGUUGGUGCUUUGGCGAUGGGGAUGAUAUUCUUCUGCUCUCCGGUGGUCAGUAUGUUCACCGAUCACUUCGGAUGCCGGAAGACGGCCGUCUGUGGAGCGUUUGUGGCCAGCCUCGGUCUUCUCACCAGUUCCUUUGCAACGACUCUGGGUCUUCGAUACUUCACAUACGGGAUAUUGUUCGGCUGCGGAUCCUCGUUUGCAUUCCAGCCAUCUCUGGUGAUCCUGGGGCAUUAUUUCCGACAGAGACUGGGUUUGGCCAACGGCGUGGUGACGGCAGGCAGCAGCCUCUUUUCUAUGGGGCUCCCCGUGCUGCUCAAGAAAGUGGUGGGACCGCUGGGCCUCUCCAGAACCUUCCAGAUCCUCAGCAUCUUCAUGCUGGUCCAGUCACUGCUGGCCCUCACCUUCAAACCGCUCAUGCCCAGUGGGAUGUGCCCGAUGCCAGGCAUGGGACUGGACGGAGGCCCCCCGUCUGGCCUGGAGUCGGCGAGCAGGUGGCAGAAGGGCCUGGCCAAAAUCAGGAAGUACUUUAACGUGCGAGUGUUUGGUGUGCUGACCUAUCGGGUUUGGGCAUUCGGUGUCGCCACAGCAGUGCUGGGAUACUUUGUUCCCUAUGUGCAUCUGAUGAACUUUGUGAAGGAGCAGUUUGGAGACACUCAGAGGGAAUGGGUGCUGCUCGUGUGUAUCGGAGCGUCGUCUGGAGUCGGUCGACUGCUGUUUGGGAAGAUCGGAGAUCUCAUACCUGGAGUAAAGAAAAUCUACAUGCAGGUGGCAUCGUUCAUAUUACUGGGUCUGAUGUCAAUGAUGAUACCUAACUGCGCCAAGUUCGAAGGUCUAGUGGUGGUUUUCAUAUUGAUGGGUCUUUGUGAUGGCUGUUUCAUCACUAUCAUGGCCCCCAUCGCCUUCGAUUUAGUAGGGCCCAUGCAGGCGUCUCAAGCUAUUGGCUACCUCCUCGGCCUCAUGGCUAUACCAAUGACAGCGGGACCCCCGAUCGCAGGACUUCUUCACGACUAUUUUGGAAACUAUCAUGUAGCGUUUUAUCUGGCUGGUGUUCCUCCAAUAGUGGGGGGUAUUGUGAUGUUUUUUGUACCUCUGGUGCACCAGCGCAUGCAGCGACGACUAAAGGAGGCCAACGAUCCCAGCAUGGACAAGAUGUUGAAGAACUGCUCUAAUGGAGACAUGCUGCCCGGAUACACAGACAUGGAGACACACAUAUGAAGCCCACAGCCUCACAAAGUUAAUUUGGGACCCUGACUGUGGACAUCUACCGGAUUUAUCUCACCAGCGCUGCUUGUGAGUGUGUGUCAGGAUGGUGUGUGAUGUAUUUCCUCUUUGCUUGGCUCUAAUCAAACUCGAGGUCUCAAGGCUUUCCCCCCUGCUUGUUUGCUGUUCUGGAGAGGAGACGUGAUCAUCCAUCAAGAUCCCAAACCCUCCUCCUGUGGCCUGCGCUGCCAUUUCCACCGGCUCACGAGUGAUUGAACAACUUCUGCAUGCGGAUUUGGGAGAAUUUACGUUUCUCACAAGAAUCUGAUCGGAUGGCUCAGGUAGCGCAGGAGCCGUCAGUUAAAUUAGGACAGCAAACGUUUUAGCACCUUUAUAAAGGAAACAUUAAUUUGAUGUGAGAGAGUAGCAUUUCCAGCACAGAGAAAAGUGCUGUUUUCAUUGAGCUUAAUAGUUUAUUGUUUAGAUUAUGCAAAUCAGAUCUGUAAUCUUAGGUGUUUUAAUAAUACGAUUAAAAAAAAAAAAAGUCCUCCGGAGAUUUCGGAAACUUUUAAGAGACAAAUCCUUCUUCUUGCACUUUCUGCUGCUGACUUUGAUAACCUCGGCCAUGAUUUUCUUAUCAUAAUGUACCGCAGCCGUGCAUCGAUUACGAAUUAUGUAGAAAUGAAAACUAAACGAGGAAUCAUUUUUAUGAAUUUUUUUUAAAAAGCUAAUCCUUUGUCCUUAAUAAGAUCCACUAAAUUUAGUUCAGUAAUCUUCAGCUAUGCAUUAAGGAGUUCACAAACCGUGCCAUGACCAUUGAGACAGAUGAAAACAAAGGUAUCGAUAUUCAUAAAGGGGGUGAAUCUCGUGAAAAAUAUAAUGAAAAAUAUGAAUAUGAACAUUUCCACCAAAUUUAUAUAAUGCGAAAAUACAGUAAAGUAAUCAUAUCCAGUCAUAUUAAUUAGUGUAAAUACCAUAAUGUAAAAACAUUUCAUUUUGGUACUUUUUGCUAAUAAUUAUUUAUGAAAUUCACUUGCAGUUUCUGAGUAAAAAUAGUUUUAAAGUAAAUCCUACAUCUUUUAAUUCAGUCCACCAUUUAUGCAAAAUAUAAUUUCUUAUUUUUGGGGUAAAAUAUGACCUAGAUAUUUCUAAACAAUUUUCCUGAGAUUCACUCGAGGACAAAAUCACUACAUCAUCGAAUUGUUAAAAUCUAUAUAUGUCUUUUUUUUCCACAUUUGACUCCGAUUAUUGUAUUUUUUUAAAGAAAUUAUAUUUUGAUUAUAUGUGUUGUGUCUCGUUUGCUAUAUGAUAAACAAACCUGGCAUUUGAAAUUGAGUUGAAUGGACUUACGAAGACAAUCAAAGCACGAUCUGAUCUGAACUGAAUGACGACACUAAAAAAAAAUUGAGAGUUUUUGCUGAAAGCAAACCAACAAAGUAUUACACGAAGUGGGCCAUGUUUAUGAGUAUCAAUGAAUCAAUUACUGUGUGACAUUUGAAGUUGUGCUUAUUCUUUUUGAUAAUUUUGUGUUUUUGUAUCGGACGAUUAUAUCAACAUGUCUCACAUGUUUAGCGAGAGCAGCUUUUCCUGAGUCUCUUCCAAAAACUAGUGAGCUGAAACGACUCAUUCAAGUAAAAUAUUGAUGAUACAUUUACUCUUAUAACCUACAUUUAUGUGUGCAUGCUUAUUAGAGUGACUUAGCAACAUGCUGACAUCUAACUAUUGAAUUCAAUUACUGCAAAUAUUUGCCUGUGUAGAGUGUUAGUGAGCUUAGGAUGCUAAUUCAUGCUGUAGACAUCAAGGCAGUGCACUAGUAUUUGGAACAGAGCUGUACUCAUUCUCUCUGCACUUUCAUCUGUCUAUUUGUCAACUAUUUCCCAGAAGCCCUUUGGCCACCAGUUUCUGUCGUGCUGUUAGGGAGACAUGUCCGAAUGCGCCAAUUAACAUUGUUUCUGGUACAUUUUCCUCAGAACUCAUCAGAUGGCCUGUUUAAAAACAAAAGAUGGUCACGAUCUUAACCAAACUGCCUCAACCGACCCCGUCCUGCAGGGUUAACCAGGAGACGGCGCUUUUACACUAAAGCAACUAGACCACAAGACACCUCUUCGGGUUUAGGGACUGAGUGAUGAUGUUAUGUAGCAUUUAAAGAUGCUUGGGGGCAGUUGUGGUCUAAUGGAUAGAGAGUUGGGCUUGUAACCCAAAGGUUGUGGGUUCGAGUCUCAUGUCCGGCAUACCUCAGACGCCUGUUUUAUGGUUUCAAACUGAUAAAUAUAAGACCCUUGUGCACUUAGUCGUAUUGAUUUGCCUCCUACAGUGGCUUGUGCAGACCACAGCUGUGUGAAUCUUUGCGCCUCGAAGCCACGGUUCCUGUCGUUUAUGUCUCUCUACCUGAUCUGCAUUUGAUUAUUGGUGCUCAUCACAUACAGCAGGCCCUGCAAAUGAAUCCUCAUCCUAAUGAUCAUCCUUCCUUAGAGUUUUGGUCAUUGCCGUUUCUGACGGCAGAGAGUGAUGUGUUUUAUAUGCGUGAGGAAAAAGAAUGAGAGAGACAGACACAUGCAGACUUUAGAAACUCAGGGAGUGCAGAAGUUGAAAAUGUUUCAUCACCCGUCUGCAUAUUAUUGCACGCUGGAUUCAUAAAACUGUUAUAAAAACACAUUUUAUUGAUAAAGGCAUUGGAGUCUCAAUAGGUUAAUUGGGUCUCAAUCUCGAGAAAACACACACACACACACACACACACACACACACACA